GACAGAGGUGCCAAGCGUUAGGCGGAAUCACUGGGCUUAAAGCGUGUGUAGGCGGAUCGUUAAGUACCUUGUGAAAUCCCACGGCUCAACCGUGGAACUGCUCGGUAUACUGGCGAUCUUGAGCCACCUAGGGGUAACUGGAACAAGCGGUGGAGCGGUGAAAUGCGUAGAUAUCGCUUGGAACGCCAACGGUGAAAACAGGUUGCUGGGGGUGUGCUGACGCUGAGACACGAAAGCCAGGGGAGCGAACGGG
rnacentral:rRNA from 1 species